UGGGAGACUGAGCAAGCCUCUGUCUCAAAAAAAGAAAACCCACAAAAUUUAGCCAAUUUUUGUGGUGGUGGGCAUGGUGGUGGGUGUAGUGGCCAGUGCCUGUAGUCCCAGCUACUCAGGAGGCUGAGGCAGGAAAAUUCCUUGAACCUGGGAGGUUCAAGCUAUAGAACAAAGAUUGCCCAUGGAAGAGUCCCUUUUUGGCAAAAAGUGACAGUUCUCUUGACCAAGAUCAUGUUGCAGUGAGCCAAGAUCAUGCCACUGACUCCAGCCUGGGUGACAAGAGUGAAACCCUGUUUCAAAAAAAGAAAAGAAAAGAACAAAAAAAAAGAAAGCCGAGGCAGAGCCUAGAGUCACCCACAGCUGAAGGCUGUCAGUUGGUUGCAUUCCCCGUGGCAGCAUCUCUCUUAAAAGGAUUUAGGAGCAGCACAUCUUUUUGGCUGCCAUAUGGGUAUAUGGCUAGGAAUUGAUUAUGUCUUUUUGGUUCUCUUACUAUUUAAAAAAACUGCAUGUAUUACAUUGUUGAAAAAUAAUAUAAUUUUAAACAGCAACCAAGAAAACAAACAUUUAAAUAUUUUUUACAGGAGUGCAGGAGACUGAAUGUAAGGCCCUGAUACCCUCCUUCUGCUCCACUCCAGCUACCAACCACCUGUCCUGAGUGGAUGAUCUGAGAGGGCAGCAGUGCCUGCAAUGCAGAUCACUCCUCAAUCCCUAUUUCAUCUAUUCAACAAAUAUUUAUUGAACAUUAUAUAUGUGCCAGACAUUGACUAGGAGCUGAGUAUACAAGAGUGAAUAAAACAGCCAAAGUUUUGACCACCAUGCAGCUUACUCUUACGGCUCUUUCUUGGACAACCGACCCACAUUUUCAACUUUUUUUGCAAUAGGAACUAAACUUGUCUUUUCGUUUCCCACAUUGAAAAUCUCUCAGGUAGCAUCCAUGUAGCUGAACUGCUUCUCAAACUCAUCAUAUUCAUCCUGAGCACCACCUUUUGACUUGAAUGGAAACAUGACUUGUUCUCUUAAGUCAUCAAGCUCAAAAAUCUCAGUUAUGCUAAGUGAAAUAAGCCAGGCACAGAAAGUCAAAUACUGGGUGAUCUCCCUUAUAUGUGGAAUCUAAAAAAGUAAAUUUCAUAGAAACAGUGAGCAGAAAGAUGGUUGUGGUUACCAUCGGCUGGUGAGGG
rnacentral:lncRNA from 10 species